rnacentral:rRNA from 1 species
CAGUCGCCGCGGGAAUACGUAGGGGGCAAGCGUUAUCCGGAAUUACUGGGUGUAAAGGGAGCGCAGGCGGUUAGAUAAGUCUGAAGUUAAAGGCUGUGGCUUAACCAUAGUACGCUUUGGAAACUGUUUAACUUGAGUGCAAGAGGGGAGAGUGGAAUUCCAUGUGUAGCGGUGAAAUGCGUAGAUAUUGGGAGGAACACCAGUGGCGAAGGCGGCUUUCUGGACUGCAACUGACGCUGAGGCUCGAAAGCCAGGGGAGCGAACGGGAUUAGAUACCCCUGUAGUCCCUGUCUCUUAUACA